rnacentral:rRNA from 1 species
UGGGGAAUUUUGCACAAUGGGGGAAACCCUGAUGCAGCGACGCCGCGUGAUUUAGAAGGCCUUCGGGUUGUAAAAAUCUUUUCUAUGGGAAGAAAAUGACAGUACCAUAGGAAUAAGGACCGGCUAAUUACGUGCCAGCAGCCGCGGUAAUACGUAAGGUCCGAGCGUUGUCCGGAAUCAUUGGGCGUAAAGGGUACGUAGGCGGGUAAGCAAGUUAGAAGUGAAAUCCUAUAGCUCAACUAUAGUAAGCUUUUAAAACUGCUCAUCUUAAAGUAUGGAAGGGAAAGUGGAAUUCCUAGUGUAGCUGUUAAAUGCGCAGAUAUUAGGAGGGAUACCGGUGGCGAAGGCGACUUUCUGGCCAUAACCUGACGCUGAGGUACGAAAGCGUGGGUAGCAAACAGG